rnacentral:rRNA from 1 species
ACGCUAGCUAUAGGCUUAACACAUGCAAGUCGAGGGGAAACGGCAUUAUGUGCUUGCACAUUUUGGACGUCGACCGGCGCACGGGUGAGUAUCGCGUAUCCAACCUUCCCUCCACUCGGGGAUACCCCGUUGAAAGACGGCCUAAUACCCGAUGUUGUCCACAUAUGGCAUCUGACGUGGACCAAAGAUUCAUCGGUGGAGGAUGGGGAUGCGUCUGAUUAGCUUGUUGGUGCGGGUAACGGCCCACCAAGGCUACGAUCAGUAGGGGUUCUGAGAGGAAGGUCCCCCACAUUGGAACUGAGACACGGUCCAAACUCCUACGGGAGGCAGCAGUGAGGAAUAUUGGUCAAUGGACGUAAGUCUGAACCAGCCAAGUAGCGUGCAGGAUUGACGGCCCUAUGGGUUGUAAACUGCUUUUGUUGGGGAGUAAAGUGAGGCACGCGUGCCUUUUUGCAUUUACCCUUCGAAUAAGGACCGGCUAAUUCCGUGCCAGCAGCCGCGGUAAUACGGAAGGUCCAGGCGUUAUCCGGAUUUAUUGGGUUUAAAGGGAGUGUAGGCGGUCUGUUAAGCGUGUUGUGAAAUUUAGGUGCUCAACAUCUACCUUGCAGCGCGAACUGGCGGACUUGAGUGCACGCAGCGUAUGCGGAAUUCAUGGUGUAGCGGCGAAAUGCUUAGAUAUCAUGACGAACUCCGAUUGCGAAGGCAGCGUACGGGAGUGUUACUGACGCUUAAGCUCGAAGGUGCGGGUAUCGAACAGGAUUAGAUACCCUGGUAGUCCGCACGGUAAACGAUGGAUGCCCGCUGUUAGCGCCUGGCGUUAGCGGCUAAGCGAAAGCAUUAAGCAUCCCACCUGGGGAGUACGCCGGCAACGGUGAAACUCAAAGGAAUUGACGGGGGCCCGCACAAGC